rnacentral:lncRNA from 1 species
CCCUCGCGGGAGCCCCGCUGUCAUAGCCCGGACCCCCUCCGGGAGGGACGGGGCUCGCCCGCAGCCCGCGGCGGCGGUCCUCAGUCGCUUCCAGCCCGCGCGCCCGGGGCUCCGGGGCCCCCGGUGCGCCGCGCGCCCGCCCCCUCGCGCGGCCCCGCCGCCCCGGCCCGCCGGCCCCCGAGCGCUGCUGCCGCCGCUGCCGCUGCCGCUGCCGCCGCCGCUGCUGCUGCUGCGCCCCGAGGGGACACGAGGCGGCGACCCCCGCGCCGGCUUCCCCGCGAGCCACUGGGGCGCCGCGGCCAGGUUUAUUCUAAUCCUUCCUCCCGGCGGUGGAUCCUCCCCAGGAGAGAGCGAUGGAAACUGGGAGGCAGCUCGCGGCACCGGCAACCCCUCCCAGGGGUGGGUGGGGAAACCGAGCACGUUCUUCUGUCAGGAGCGGGCUCGGCGACAGCCCGGGCGCUGCUCGCGCGGCCACCCCGCGCCGGCGCGCCUGGCAGCCGAGCCCAGCCCGCGGUCCCCGCGCGGGGCUGCCGGGGCUGCCGGGGCCGCGGGGGCCGGGGGGCCGGGGGUCGCGACGGCGGCUCGCUCGGGGCUUCCCGCCCCAUAGGGGCCGGGCCGGGCGCAGGGAGGGCCGCCGCGGGGCGAGCGCCACAGACACUUGUUUGCGAGGCUCAGCCCCGGCGCGCGCGCGGCGCUCCGAGCGGGCCCGCCUCCUCCCGGCCCGGGGGGCGGCGGCCCGCGCCCAGCAGCCGGGCUCCUCCUCCGGCUCCUCCUCCUCGCCCGCCCCAGUGCCCUCGGGCGGGCCCGGCACGACCCCCCGGCGGACAGGCGGGCGGGCGCUGGGCGCUCCCCGGCCCCGCUCGCGGACUGCGGCCGCCGCCUCGGCGUGCGCACACACACCCACACACACCCACACCCACACACACACACGCACGCGGCGGCAGGUCCAUGCCAGCGGCUCCCGGGGACCCGAGGAGCCCGCGCCCCCGGAGAGGUGACCCUCCCGGGCCUGCGCCGGCUCUUGCUCUUCCUCCCCCGGCGGGGGCGGGGUGCCCGGCGACGGGAUGGGGAGACACUCUACGAGGCGGGCCUGGCUCCGGGGCCAGGUGUCCCGCAGGGAGCGCAGAGCGCUCUGGGUCCCCUGCGGCCCCGAGGACAAGCCCGCGGCGGCCGCGCUGCGCGGGGCUUGCUGCCUCCCAGCCCUUUCUUUCUCACUUCUCCGACACGGCCGCUCGCGAUGUACUCGCUUUAUUUCUCCCCUUUCCCCCCCGCGAGCUCCCACGGCCGCAGAGGGACGGCCGCUGUCCUCUCCAGCCCGCGCCUCCCCUGCCCCGGGGCCCCGCCCGACCGGCCCGGCCGACGCGCGCCCGGCUCGCGCCCUCCCCGACUUUGCCGCGGGGUCGGAGCCCGCGCCCGGUGGGCACAACCCGUGGGCAGCGGAAAGCGGAGGCAGCCGGGCGGGGACGCUCGAUUUUCCGAGCCCCGCUUUCCUUUCACUGCCCACUGGGAUGUGUAGUUCUUCCUCUCGCCGACUGA